rnacentral:rRNA from 1 species
AUUGAACGCUGGCGGCAGGCCUAACACAUGCAAGUCGAGCGGUAACACAGAGGAGCUUGCUCCUUGGGUGACGAGCGGCGGACGGGUGAGUAAUGCCUGGGGAUCUGCCCGAUAGAGGGGGAUAACUACGGGAAACUGUAGCUAAUACCGCAUAAUGUCUACGGACCAAAGUGGGGGCUCUUCGGACCUCAUGCUAUCGGAUGAACCCAGGUGGGAUUAGCUAGUUGGUGAGGUAAUGGCUCACCAAGGCGACGAUCUCUAACUGGUUUGAGAGAAUGACCAGUCACACUGGAACUGAGACACGGUCCAGACUCCUACGGGAGGCAGCAGUGGGGAAUAUUGCACAAUGGGCGCAAGCCUGAUGCAGCCAUGCCGCGUGUGUGAAGAAGGCCUUCGGGUUGUAAAGCACUUUCAGCGGGGAGGAAGGGCUACUAGUUAAUACCUAGUGGCAUUGACGUUACUCGCAGAAGAAGCACCGGCUAACUCCGUGCCAGCAGCCGCGGUAAUACGGAGGGUGCAAGCGUUAAUCGGAAUUACUGGGCGUAAAGCGCACGCAGGCGGUUUGUUAAGUCANAUGUGAAAUCCCCNAGCUCAACUUGGGAACUGCAUUUGAAACUGGCAAGCUAGAGUCUUGNAGAGGGGGGUAGAAUUCC